UGGGGAAUAUUGCACAAUGGAGGGAACUCUGAUGCAGCGACGCCGCGUGAGUGAUGAAGGAAUUCGUUUCGUAAAACUCUGUUCUAUGGGAAGAAAAGGACUGUACCAUAGGAGAAAGCUCCGGCUAAAUACGUGCCAGCAGCCGCGGUAAUACGUAUGGAGCGAGCGUUGUCCGGAAUUAUUGGGCGUAAAGGGUGCGCAGGCGGCUUUACAAGUUGGAGGUGAAAUAUUGUGGCUCAACCACAAACGUGCAUCCAAAACUGCAAAGCUUGAGUUAAGGAGAGGUAAGUGGAAUUCCUGGUGUAGCGGUGGAAUGCGUAGAUAUCAGGAGGAAUACCGGUGGCGAAGGCGACUUACUGGACUUAAACUGACGCUCAGGCACGAAAGCGUGGGGAGCAAACAGG
rnacentral:rRNA from 1 species